rnacentral:rRNA from 1 species
UACAUGGGGUGCAAACGUUGCUCGGAAUUAUUGGGCGUAAAGCGCGCGUAGGCGGUUACUUAAGUCGGAUGUGAAAGCCCUCGGCUUAACUGAGGAAGUGCAUCCGAAACUGAGUAGCUAGAGUACGAAAGAGGGUCGCGGAAUUCCCGGUGUAGAGGUGAAAUUCGUAGAUAUCGGGAGGAACACCGGUGGCGAAGGCGGCGACCUGGGUCGAGACUGACGCUGAUGCGCGAAAGCGUGGGGAGCAAACAGG